rnacentral:rRNA from 1 species
GAUGAACGCUGGCGGCGUGCUUAACACAUGCAAGUCGAACGAAGCACCUUGAUUUGAUACUUCCGAUGAUUAUCGUGGUGACUGACUGGCGAGACGGGUGAGUGACGCGAGGGUAGCCUGCCUCAUGCGUGGGGAGAACAGUUAAAGGUGACUGCUAAUGCCGCCUACUACCACUGCAGCGCAUGGUGAAGGAGUCACAUGUCCCGUGGUUUGAGAUGGACCCGCAUCAGAUUAGGUAGUUGGUGGGGUAACGGCUUACCAAGCCGACGAUCAGUAGCCGACUUGAGAGAGUGACCGCCCACAUUGGGACUGAGACACGGCCCAAACUCCUACGGGAGGCAGCAGUGGGGAAUAUUGCACAAUGGGGGAACCCCUGAUGCAGCGACGCCGCGUGAGCGAUGAAGUAUUUCGGUAUGUAAAGCUCUAUCAGCAGGGAAGAAAAUGACGGUACCUGACUAAGAAGCCCCGGCUAAAUACGUGCCAGCAGCCGCGGUAAUACGUAGGGGGCAAGCGUUAUCCGGAUUUACUGGGUGUAAAGGGAGCGUAGACGGAGUGGCAAGUCUGAUGUGAAAACCCGGGGCUCAACCCCGGUACUGCAUUGGAAACUGUCAAUCUAGAGUGCAGGAGAGGUAAGCGGAAUUCCUAGUGUAGCGGUGAAAUGCGUAGAUAUUAGGAGGAACACCAGUGGCGAAGGCGGCUUACUGGACGGUAACUGACGUUGAGGCUCGAAAGCGUGGGGAGCAAACAGGAUUAGAUACCCUGGUAGUCCACGCCGUAAAC